AUUUUUUAACUUGAGCAUCUUUUAAUCCUUUACCAGUUAAAUGUAUCACUUGAUAUUGUUGUAAUAAUGCAUCUAAGUUUUCGCGAAUAAUGCUAUUUAAUUUUUUACUUCCUAAGCUUCCACCCAUAACGAGUAAAACUUUUUUAUUUUCAUUAAAGCCUGUUAAUUGAUAACC
rnacentral:ncRNA from 23 species